GGAAUAUAGCUCAGUGCUAGAGCAGUUGCUUGACAAACAUGAGGCCCUGGGUUCAAUCCCUAGUACCA
rnacentral:tRNA from 1 species